GUGCUCACUUUUGCAACACAUAUAUUAAAAUUGGAAUGAUACAGAGAACACUAGCCCAGCCCUGGUAGGGAUGACACAUAAAUAAAAGCAUAUAAAGAAUACCAAAAUGUU